rnacentral:rRNA from 1 species
CCUACGGGGGGCUGCAGUGGGGAAUAUUGGACAAUGGGGGCAACCCUGAUCCAGCAAUGCCGCGUGAGUGAUGAAGGCCUUAGGGUUGUAAAGCUCUUUUACCAGGGAUGAUAAUGACAGUACCUGGAGAAUAAGCUCCGGCUAACUCCGUGCCAGCAGCCGCGGUAAUACGGAGGGAGCUAGCGUUGUUCGGAAUUACUGGGCGUAAAGCGCACGUAGGCGGUUACUCAAGUCAGAGGUGAAAGCCCGGGGCUCAACCCCGGAACUGCCUUUGAAACUAGGUAACUAGAAUCCUGGAGAGGUGAGUGGAAUUCCGAGUGUAGAGGUGAAAUUCGUAGAUAUUCGGAAGAACACCAGUGGCGAAGGCGGCUCACUGGACAGGUAUUGACGCUGAGGUGCGAAAGCGUGGGGAGCAAACAGGAUUAGAUACCCUAGUAGUC